rnacentral:rRNA from 1 species
GAUGAACGCUGGCGGCGUGCUUAACACAUGCAAGUCGAACGGAAAGGCCCAAGCUUGCUUGGGUACUCGAGUGGCGAACGGGUGAGUAACACGUGGGUGAUCUGCCCUGCACUUCGGGAUAAGCCUGGGAAACUGGGUCUAAUACCGGAUAGGACCACAUUUUGGAUGGUGUGGUGGAAAGUUUUUCGGUGUGGGAUGAGCUCGCGGCCUAUCAGCUUGUUGGUGGGGUAAUGGCCUACCAAGGCGUCGACGGGUAGCCGGCCUGAGAGGGUGUACGGCCAGAUUGGGACUGAGAUGCAGGCCAGACUCCUACGGGGGGCAGCAGUGGGGAAGAUUGCACAAUGGGCGCAAGCCUGAUGCAGCGACGCCGCGGGGGGGAUGACGGCCUUCGGGUUGUAAGCUCCUUUCGCUAGGGAAGAAGCGUUUUUGUGACGGUACCUGGAGAAGAAGCACCGGCUAACUACGUG